UAAGGCCAACGAGGCCCAAUGGGGCGCACAACUCCUCCCCUCUUUCUGAAGGACAACGAAGAGUAUGAAUCUUCUCCUUCCUUUCCCAAUCUCCGCGGACACGUGGCCAUGAAUGGUACUUUACCAUUACCAAGUGGCCGACUGGCAGUACACCACUAGGCACGGUAUGCCUCGGGAAUCAUACAAGUGGCAACGACUAGCCACCAAAUUAAUGACAUGAAUAAUGGCCAAAUGCUUAACCCAAAGAAAAUAAUGAAUUUGAAUAUUUUUAAAUCCCAGGCACCUUCUUCGACUGCCUAAAAAACAAACUCGUUAACUCUCGCAAUGUUUCACACAAAAACGCUUCGGUUUCAUCUCCUUCUCUCUGCUACCUUACAUAGAUCUAUCGUUAAAUCAGAAACCAAAGAAAAAAAACAAGCAUCGAUCAUCAAUCAAUACCAAAUAACAAUAACCUCGAUUUGAAAUUUCACCAACGAUUUUACCGACCAAACAAAGUCCGGCAGCAAAGACAAUGAGAAAGUGUACCGAUUUGAAGCUUUGGCCUAUCCAGAUUCCGACGAUCCUUCAAGAAGAUCCUUAUGUGAUUCACGGUCGUGGGUGCUCACCGAGGGUUUCAGUCCGACUACCUCAGAGUUUCGGCGAGAAACUCUGAAUAGUUUUUUGUGAUUUGGACUUUGAGGAAUUCAGGUAAUGAUUUUCGGCAGAGUAACAGUAGGGGGUCCUUUUUUCAGUGGAUUUCACUCCCUUCUUAUAGAGAGGUGGUACGAGGUUCAUGUGAUGGUGUGAGUUGGCGGAUCCAGCAAAUCAUUCCGUUAGCAUGCAAUCUUUUCUUUAGAUUUUGGUGGGGACCAAAUAUUCCUGAUUUUUUUAAGAGCAACCCUGUUUUCGUCUGUAGUGAGUGAGCGUUUUUCUGGGAGUCAUGUGGUCCCAUAAAUCUGGUGUUAUCCCAAGGAGUUCUUACUGCGGUAAAAAGGUGAAUUGAUCCUUUGUAGGACUUUGAGCACCAUUGUGAAAUUUAGACUUAAUUAAUGUAUACAUGUAAUCCUUCUGGUUCUCCUUCUGGUGUAAUAGUUGUUGUAGCCUUGUUUUCUCCGUUAAGCCUUGUUUUGCAACUAUGGAUUAUGGUUCUCAUGGUCUGAUGGAUGAAGCUUUUUAUGCAGGUCUUAGGUCAUGGCUUAGGUGGUUAGUAACUUGAUUGUACUGAUUGAUGUUUCAGGAUGUGUGGACCUUUUGAGUACUUUUGAUCAAGGCUUUAAGUGAAGUUCAACUCGUGUCCAGAUUAUUGCAUUAUCCGUGGCCUUACAACUUUCGUGCAAUGAGUUUUUUUCUUGGCAAGUCUACAGAGAUUGCAGCACCAGGCUUAUGUCACAUAUGCCAUUAUGCUGGUAUGCAUAUUUGGACUGAGGUUUUGCAACAUGAAGCUUGCCUUGACAUGGUUCCUGCUUCCAUUCGCCAUUGUGCCUUUGUUAGUUCACAUCAGUUGGUAUGGCCUGCUUUGACUCGUUUUCACUUCGAAGAGUUGUGCCUGCUAUAACCAUCUUCCUGCUUGAACAUCACCUUGGCAUUGAUGACAUUGCAUCCAAUUGAGGGUGACAAAGCUCUUUGAUCCAAAAACCUGUGCCGAUGCGUCUGGUUUUGGCUUUGUUUCGUCAACCAUUGUAGCACUCACUGUUUGUGUCUGCUGGACAAAGCAAAGUACGGCAUGAUGGCUGAAUUGAUGUGGCUCGUGUAUUCGAAGCACAACUCUGUUGUUGCAGGAAAAUCAGUUUUGAAUACCAUGACAUUGUAAUAACCAUGUUACGGUAUGCUUGCAAAUUCUUGGAAUUACAUGAAGUAGAGAGUGCAAUGAGUUGUAUUGCUUGGCUGCCAUGCUAUUCCAAUGCUUGAAUAAUUUCUCUUCUAAUGCCAACAUGUCCUUAGAUCAUAGGCUAGGACUUUUGUAAACCAUAAAGUUUAUCAAUACAAUUGUAAAUUUAUGCCUUUAUCAAUAGAACUUGCGAAUCUAUUCCAAUUUUCA